UCCUCGGUAGCUCAGCGGUAGAGCAAUUGGCUGUUAACCAAUAGGUCACUGGUUCGAAUCCAGUCCGGGGAGCCA
rnacentral:tRNA from 1 species